UAAACAGAAUCAUACAGGCCAGGCACGGUGGCCAUGUGAAGACAGAAGCAGAGAUUGGAGUUAUGUCUACAAGCCAAGAUAAGCCAAGGGUUGCUAGCAGCCAUCAGAAACUAGGAAAGGCAUGGAAUGAAUUCUCCCCCAGAGCCAUCACAGAAAACCAACUCUGCCAACAUCUUGACUUUUAACUUGUGGCCUCAACUAUGAGAGAAUAACUUUGCUUUAAGCCAUCACAUUUGUGGUAACUUGUUAUGGCAGCACUAAGAAAUGAAUACACUAAAGACCUGAUUUCAAAGCUGCCUGGCAUAAGCUGGUGCUCAAUAAAAGCUCGCGGAGCUGAGUUAGGUUGUGAAUAUUCCUUAGCAAGGACCUGGACCUCUCUUUGUGUGUGUUGAACAAGAAUAACUGAACGUGAGCUCUUUUUCCUGAUUUGUUUCCCUAACUAAAAUUUAGUAGCUUGGAUCAGAGAGAUGGUCCCAGUUUCCUGUAGAUCUUCUGGAAUUAGAGUAAAUGUGACCUAUUUUCCUCUUUAAUGGCAUCAAGGCUGGGGCAUUCUGAGUGUGAAUCACCAUGGAUAGUGACACAUUUUUUAUUGGCAAGGGGACCGGCCUUAUUUUGGUAGAUGAGUUGUUAUUUUCCUCUGAUUCAGCUUAAGUUUAGUACUGAUGUCCAAAAGCAGAAAAGGAGAAAAAGAGCCAAUUAGGAUGUCUGGAUACCAUACUGCUUACACUGACUACAGAAAUGUCUAUCAUACUAGGGUUAAGUUUGAACUAUCAGAAAUCUGCCUCAGCACACAUUUGGAGAAUUUUUUUUUUUUUAAAGACAGGGCCUCACUCUGUCAUCCAGGCUGGAGUGCAGUGGCAUGAUCAGAG
rnacentral:lncRNA from 1 species